GACGAACGCUGGCGGCGUGCCUAAUACAUGCCAGUCGAACGCUUCUUUCCUCCCGAGUGCUUGCACUCAAUUGGAAAGAGGAGUGGCGGACGGGUGAGUAACACGUGGGUAACCUACCCAUCAGAGGGGGAUAACACUUGGAAACAGGUGCUAAUACCGCAUAACAGUUUAUGCCGCAUGGCAUAAGAGUGAAAGGCGCUUUCGGGUGUCGCUGAUGGAUGGACCCGCGGUGCAUUAGCUAGUUGGUGAGGUAACGGCUCACCAAGGCCACGAUGCAUAGCCGACCUGAGAGGGUGAUCGGCCACACUGGGACUGAGACACGGCCCAGACUCCUACGGGAGGCAGCAGUAGGGAAUCUUCGGCAAUGGACGAAAGUCUGACCGAGCAACGCCGCGUGAGUGAAGAAGGUUUUCGGAUCGUAAAACUCUGUUGUUAGAGAAGAACGAGGACGUUAGUAACUGAACGUCCCCUGACGGUAUCUAACCAGAAAGCCACGGCUAACUACGUG
rnacentral:rRNA from 1 species